rnacentral:ncRNA from 1 species
CUAAAAGCAAUGAAGGGAACGAGUAAUUUCUAAGUCGGUGCUGAGCGAGUCAGGGAUGGUGCGAGCCUGAACACACGGUAGAAAUGAAAAUCCUCCCCGAGCUGCUCUCCGAAAAAAGCAUUUCCACAGGAAGCUUGAAACAUCAGUUUUAGUCUCCCUUAGUGGAAGCUUUGAGUAGAUAGAGCCGUGUUCUGCACGUUACAGCAGAGCGCUCUUCCCGUCAGGGAGUAGCGAUAAAGUCCAGAAUUGCGAGAUUCUGGGAAAGUUGGGUGGUACCGCGCUCACCUAAGCGUCCCAAUG